rnacentral:rRNA from 1 species
CCUACGGGGGGCAGCAGUAAGGAAUAUUGGUCAAUGGACGGAAGUCUGAACCAGCCAUCCCGCGUGCAGGAAGAAGGUCCUAUGGAUUGUAAACUGCUUUUAGCAGAGACGAAACGCCUUCAUUUAUGGGGGUUUGACGGUAUCUGCGGAAUAAGCACCGGCUAACUCCGUGCCAGCCGCCGCGGUAAUACGGAGGGUGCAAGCGUUAUCCGGAAUCAAGGGGUCUUAGGGGUGCGUAGACGGGGGUGGUGAAAGCCUGUAGCUUAACUACAGAAUUGCCAUUGAUACUGAUUUUCUUGAAUUGGGUUGAGGUUAGCGGAAUGUGACAUGUAACGGUGAAAUGUUUAGAUAUGUCAUGGAACACCGAUUGCGAAGGCAGCUAGCUGGGCCUUGAUUGACGCUGAGGCACGAAAGCGUGGGGAGCGAACAGGAUUAGAUACCCUGGUAGUC